AACUUUCAACAACGGAUCUCUUGGUUCUGGCAUCGAUGAAGAACGCAGCGAAAUGCGAUAAGUAGUGUGAAUUGCAGAAUUCAGUGAAUCAUCGAAUCUUUGAACGCACAUUGCGCCCCUUGGAAUUCCAUGGGGCAUGCCUGUUCGAGCGUCA
rnacentral:rRNA from 1 species